GCCCAAAUUCGCACGUGCCCGUGGUCGUCCACGAAUUCGAGUGGCAGCCGGUCGCAGGUCCCAGACGGGACGACCGGCAAAAACCGGACGGCUUAAAGCAACGACGUAAGAGGGCUUUU
rnacentral:sRNA from 1 species